rnacentral:rRNA from 1 species
AGUGAAUAGAUACCCUGGUAGUCUACGCCGUAAACGAUGCGCACUAGGUUCGAGUGUUCUGACGACUUUCGAAACCGAAAAACAAAAAAAGACGAUAAGUGCGCCGCCUCGGGGAGGUACGGCCGCAAGGUUAAAACUACAAAGGAAUUGACGGGGGCGUCACACAAGCGGUGGAGCAUGUGGAUCAAUUCGUAAGCAACGCGAAGAACCUUACCUGGGUUUGUACAUGCACGGAUGCUCUCGGUGAAAGCUGAGUAGGCUGCCUUCGGGUGAAACGUGUACAGGUGCUGCACGGCUGUCGUCAGCUCGUGCUGUGAAGUGUCGGGUUUAAGUCCC